GACGAACGCUGGCGGCGUGCUUAACACAUGCAAGUCGAACGGAAAGGCCCUGCUUUUGUGGGGUGCUCGAGUGGCGAACGGGUGAGUAACACGUGAGUAACCUGCCCUUGACUUUGGGAUAACUUCAGGAAACUGGGGCUAAUACCGGAUAGGAGCUCCUGCUGCAUGGUGGGGGUUGGAAAGUUUCGGCGGUUGGGGAUGGACUCGCGGCUUAUCAGCUUGUUGGUGGGGUAGUGGCUUACCAAGGCUUUGACGGGUAGCCGGCCUGAGAGGGUGACCGGCGACAUUGGGACUGAGAUACGGCCCAGACUCCUACGGGCGGCAGCAGUGGGGAAUAUUGCACACUGGGCGGAAGCCUGAUGCAGCAACGCCGCGUGCGGGAUGACGGCCUUCGGGUUGUAAACCGCUUUCGCCUGUGACGAAGCGUGAGUGACGGUAAUGGGUAAAGAAGCACCGGCUAACUACGUG
rnacentral:rRNA from 1 species